CAUUGCCUUAGCCGUAUCAUAUACGAAACUAUUAUAUUGGAGGAUAACCACUGAUUCUAUAUAAUUUGUCACCGUGGAACUAAAGAAAGAAAGAAUAUUCAUCAGCGGAGUCACACAUGUCGCCAGCAAAUCUUCUCCAGCAAGUAUUCCGAACAGAAUACUAGUUGUAGUUACUUUGUCCCUCGCAACCACUAGUAUUAUAAGCACAUUGCCGAAAAUCGACGAAGCUACCAUCGGCAUUGCGAGGCACAAAUAACACGUCACAACACAGCCACUCACCGCCUUGUCGCCCUUCACAUACUCCGUCUGCAUAAAGGGGCCUAUUCACCGAGUCGAACUCCGUCCAGUCCACCUUGAAGUGCGGGUCCGAUCCCUUGCGCAUCACGACGCCGUUUUUGAGCUCCCAGAGACCCGCCGGAUCGGACGCCCGCUGCCACCGGAGGUCGAGGCUCCAUCGGAUGUCCUUGGACAUGUUCGGCAGGCUCCGGUGAGGAAUGACGUUAUUGAAGAGGAUAAAGCCGCCGCUCUUCACCGGAAGUGUACGCCGGUCGCGAUCCAUAUUCACGCCUACAAUGACG